rnacentral:rRNA from 1 species
UACGUAGGGUGCAAGCGUUGUCCGGAAUUAUUGGGCGUAAAGAGCUCGUAGGCGGCUUGUCGCGUCGUUCGUGAAAACCUGCAGCUCAACUGCAGGCUUGCGGUCGAUACGGGCAGGCUAGAGUUCGGUAGGGGAGACUGGAAUUCCUGGUGUAGCGGUGAAAUGCGUAGAUAUCGGGAGGAACACCUGUGGCGAAAGCGGCGCACUGGACCACAACUGACGCUGAGGCGCGAAAGCUAGGGGAGCAAACAGG